AUACUCCAAAAAAUCAUGGCACGUAAACUGAUAACGUUAUCGUUAAUAGUAUCACCACAUUUGAUAAUAUUUCGCGGAUGAUAAAAUAUAUACCUACGUCAUUUUAUUGUGCAAUUGAAAACCACAAAUACAAUUUGAUAGGAUUCCAUACCACGUCAAAAAAAAAAAAAGAAAUAGAAAAAUAUUCUGCGGCUUCACUCGAGCAGAACCCGCAUCUCAUGUUCCCAAGGGUUACGUUCAGGACGUGCGCGAGGAGUUCCCGCCAAUCCGGUAAGAGAUGACCGAGGCGUCUGUUGGCGUACGCUAAGCCCGCCAAACUGAAGUACUAAGCGGUAAGCACCGUGAGAGCUUCGCGAACCGUCGUUGAAUGGCGCACUCCACUCGGAGGGAGAGAUGGCGGGAGGGCCGAUCUUGUAGGGGAAACCGCCGCUUUAUACCAAAAACUUCAAAGUUAGACCAGUGGUUUAGAUAUAAUUUCUAUCUCCAGUACGAGCCUCUUAUACAUGACGCUGGCAGAAAUGGUCGUAAAAUAGCGACCAAUUGCCAUUAACGAAAAGAAGAAGAAGAAGAAAGUACAAUAUUAAUGAUAUAAUGAUUAUAUAUUUUUAACAAAUAAAUAAUUUGAACUUCAACAAUUUAUUACAAUAAGCCAUGCUCAACAGGUUAAUAUAAAAUAAAAUCAUUAAGUAAAUUUAUCAUCACAAAAAGCAGCAAACAAAAAAUAUACACCAAAGCAAAAUAGGUCUAUAAAGGAAUAAAAAAAUUGGAUUGAGGUUCAUGCUGUAUGUAUGCUUUUCUAAGUAUGUAAGCAGUAGACGUAGAUGAUUUGUUAAUAUCAGUAUACAAACAUAUUAAUUAGAAAGUACUCAUGUGUUCAAAAUUUUAUAAAAUUAAUCUUGAAAUCGCUUAACACUGCAUUACUUAUGAAUAUUAAAAAUAUUCAAUUUAAUGAUAACAAUGUCAGAUUAAAACAAUUGGUCAAUUGUUUAUUUUAUAUUACACACUUAUCUAUAAAAAGUAUACUUUGUGGCGAACAGCUCCAAUGAAAUUUUAGCAAUAAUGAUAACCCACUUACAAUACUUAGGUUAUCAUUGAAGCAAAAAUUUCAGCAGGACUUUUAACAUGUAACAUUUUAAUACAUAUAUAAAAAUUGUGUAUGAUGUUUUUUAUGCUAAUCUUUAAAACAGCAUUGACUUGAAUGAAACUUUAAAUAUUUAUAUGAUUUUUCAAAUUUGUAUAAAAUUUUUAAUUACAAUACAUAACGGGAAUUGAUUGUUCUGCUAUGUUUGUCCUAUCCGAUAAUCGUUUUGAUUUUAUUUGGAUAUCUUUUUCAGAUAAUUGUUGUUUAUUAUGGAUGUUACAUGCUGUAACUUGAGAAAUAAGAUGCCAAGAUACUAGUUAUAUAGAAUGACAUUAUGCAUAUUAUAUAAUACCUUUUGAACAUUAUAUCUAUUUGAGAUAAUUUAAAACAUGAAAUCUGAUAAUACUUAUACAUACAAUACAAUACAUACUCAUGUAUGUAUAAUAUAUAAAGAAUUUAAUAUUUUAUAUGUUACUGUAAAAGCCUGUAUAUUGAUAAAACUUAGGUUUUACUAGUAAAUCUCAAGAUUUAUCAACAUAAAGAUUUUGUAAAAAUAAUUAUAAUUUUUUUUUUUUGAGUUUUCAUCAAACCAAUCAUAAACUAACCUACCUUUCUGACUUUGAGCAUGAGCAUCACAAACAUGUCUAAAUUUUGUCUAUUGCUUUAUGUUUACUACUGAGUAUAUGAACAUAAAACAGUUUGAACUUUUAUCAUUAACAGUUAGCAAAUUUUUGGGUUUCCUACAACUUUUUAUUUUUACCAUAGUUCAGGUUUUUAAAGUAAUAUAUGAGUUUUAAAAUUGGGUAAUUGAGCAUAUUCAUUAUUUACAAGUUUAAAAUUAAGACAUACUAAAUCAAUUACUGCCUGAAAUCCAGUAAUGAAAAGUGUCAAUAUCUAUCAAAUUUUUAAAGCUUUUUUAUAUUAACUAAGUAAGAUCUUCAACAAUUUUUAAACAAAGUAUGAGUACAUAUAAUUCCAUUAAAACCAUAUUAGUUAAUAAUAUCAAAGCUCUUAAUUUUGUUUUUUAAUAUUUUAUUAUGUCUCCUAAAGUCAUUUAAUUUUAAUAAUAAUCAUACUAUUAAGUUUCUGCUUGAUAUAUUUUUUAUAAUUAACUCUGUUUAUUAUGUUAUAUACAUUGUAUUAUAAAUAAUACACACUAGAAGUUAUAUAAAGAAUCAUAUGAAAAACAGGUAGGUAUAAAUAUUAAUAGAAUACUAAGAUACAUGCUAUUUUUAAAAGUAUACAAAUUACUAUAAAAAAUAAAUAUUUAAUUUUUAUGGUUGACUUUCUAUGGUUUCUCACCUACUCUGAAAGAUUC